GCCGGACGCGGUAGCGCGUGCCUGUAGUCCCAGCUACUCGGGAGACUGAGGUGAGGAUCGCUUGAGCCCAGGAGUUCUCGGCUGUAGUGCGCUAUGCCGAUUGGGUGUCCGCACUAAGUUCGGCAUCAAUAUGGUGACCUCCUGGGAGCGGGGGACAACCAGGUUGCCUAAGGAGGGGUGAACCCGCCCAGGUCAGAAACGGAGCAGGUCAAAACUCCGGUGCUGAUCAGUAGUGGGAUCGUGCCUGUGAAUAGCCAGUGCACUCCAGCCUGAGCAACAUAGCGAGACCUCAUCUCUU
ensembl:misc_RNA Metazoa_SRP Metazoan signal recognition particle RNA